UACAGAGGGUGCGAGCGUUGUUCGGAAUUAUUGGGCGUAAAGCGCUUGUAGGCGGCUUGUUAAGUUCCGUGUGAAAUCCCUCGGCUUAACCGGGGAACUGCGUCUGAUACUGGAUGGCUUGAGUUUGGGAGAGGGAUGCGGAAUUCCAGGUGUAGCGGUGAAAUGCGUAGAUAUCUGGAGGAACACCGAUGGCGAAGGCAGGUCUCUGGGCUGACACUGACGCUCAUGCACGAAAGCGUGGGGAGCAAACAGG
rnacentral:rRNA from 1 species